rnacentral:rRNA from 1 species
GAUGAACGCUAGCGGCAGGCUUAACACAUGCAAGUCGAGGGGUAGGAGAAGCUUGCUUUUCUGAGACCGGCGCACGGGUGCGUAACGCGUAUGCAAUCUACCUUUCACAGAGGGAUAGCCCAGAGAAAUUUGGAUUAAUACCUCAUAGUAAUACGCCUUGGCAUCAAGAUGUAUUUAAAGAUUUAUCGGUGAAAGAUGAGCAUGCGUCCCAUUAGCUAGUUGGUAUGGUAACGGCAUACCAAGGCAACGAUGGGUAGGGGUCCUGAGAGGGAGAUCCCCCACACUGGUACUGAGACACGGACCAGACUCCUACGGGAGGCAGCAGUGAGGAAUAUUGGACAAUGGGCGCAAGCCUGAUCCAGCCAUGCCGCGUGCAGGAUGACGGUCCUAUGGAUUGUAAACUGCUUUUAUACAGGAAGAAACACCUCUACGUGUAGAGACUUGACGGUACUGUAAGAAUAAGGAUCGGCUAACUCCGUGCCAGCAGCCGCGGUAAUACGGAGGAUCCAAGCGUUAUCCGGAAUCAUUGGGUUUAAAGGGUCCGUAGGCGGUCAGAUAAGUCAGUGGUGAAAGCCCAUCGCUCAACGGUGGAACGGCCAUUGAUACUGUCUGACUUGAAUUAUUAGGAAGUAACUAGAAUAUGUAGUGUAGCGGUGAAAUGCUUAGAGAUUACAUGGAAUACCAAUUGCGAAGGCAGGUUACUACUAAUAUAUUGACGCUGAUGGACGAAAGCGUGGGUAGCGAACAGGAUUAGAUACCCUGGUAGUCCACGCCGUAAACGAUGGAUACUAGCUGUUGGGAGCAAUCUCAGUGGCUAAGCGAAAGUGAUAAGUAUCCCACCUGGGGAGUACGAACGCAAGUUUGAAACUCAAAGGAAUUGACGGGGGCCCGCACAAGCGGUGGAGCAUGUGGUUUAAUUCGAUGAUACGCGAGGAACCUUACCAAGGCUUAAAUGUAGUUUGACCGGUUGGAAACAG